UACGUAGGGUGCUAGCGUUAUCCGGAUUCACUGGGUUUAAAGGGUGCGUAGGUGGGCAGGUAAGUCAGUGGUGAAAUCUCCGAGCUUAACUCGGAAACUGCCGUUGAUACUAUUUGUCUUGAAUAUUGUGGAGGUAAGCGGAAUAUGUCAUGUAGCGGUGAAAUGCUUAGAUAUGACAUAGAACACCAAUUGCGAAGGCAGCUUACUACACAACUAUUGACGCUGAGGCACGAAAGCGUGGGGAUCAAACAGG
rnacentral:rRNA from 1 species